rnacentral:rRNA from 1 species
GGCGAACGCUGGCGGCGUGCUUAACACAUGCAAGUCGAACGGCAACGCCCUGCGUUUUUGGUGUUCUCGAGUGGCGAACGGGGGAGUAACACGUGAGUAACCUGCCCUACACUUUGGGAUAACUUCAGGUAACGGGGGUUAAUAUCGGAUAGCAGAUCCUGCACCAUGGUGAGCGGUGGAACGUUUCGGCUGGUGUGGCUGGACUCGCGGCUUAUGAGCUUGCUGGUGGGGUAGUGGCUGACCAAGGAUUGGAAGGAUAGCCGGCCUGAGAGGGUGACCGGCGACAUUGGGACUGCGGUACGGACCAGACUCCUACGGGAGGCAGCAGUGGGGAACAUUGCACAGUGGGCGGAAGUCUGAGGCAGAAGCGUCGCGGUCGGGAUGACGGUUUUUGGGGUGUAAACAGCUUUCGCCUGUGACGAAGCGGUAGUGACGGUAAUGGGUAAAGAAGCACCGGCUAACUACGUG